rnacentral:tRNA from 1 species
GCCGAGGUAGCAAAGCCUGGACUAACGCGCCAGCCUGGAAAGCUGGUGGUCUUCACGGACCGCAGGGGUUCAAAUCCCCUCCUCGGCG